UACGAAGGGGGCUAGCGUUGCUCGGAAUGACUGGGCGUAAAGGGCGCGUAGGCGGUUUGGACAGUCAGAUGUGAAAUUCCUGGGCUCAACCUGGGGGCUGCAUUUGAUACGUUCGGACUAGAGUGGGGAAGAGGGUCGUGGAAUUCCCAGUGUAGAGGUGAAAUUCGUAGAUAUUGGGAAGAACACCGGUGGCGAAGGCGGCGACCUGGUCCUUGACUGACGCUGAGGCGCGAAAGCCAGGGGAGCAAACGGG
rnacentral:rRNA from 1 species